GCGAGGGUGGCGAAAUUGGCAGACGCGCUAGACUUAGGAUCUAGUGGUAUUACCGUGCGGGUUCAAGUCCCGCCCUUCGCA
rnacentral:tRNA from 1 species